CUUUCUGCUGCUGAAGGAACCAUCGUCCAGAACGAGGAGGAGCUCUGUCGUCAGCGCAGACUGCUGGAUAGCAGCUGGAACCCGCAGCUUCAGCUCCACAUAGUUGGCAUCAGCAAAACAUUCUUCUUCUUUGUUUGGAGCCAUGGAGCCAAAAACUGAAAGCAGAGAACAUAUAAGUCCUCCUUAAGCGUUAUGCGAGUGAAGAGGAUCUGUGCAACCAACAGAGGAAUCUAAGAAUGGAACAGGAGGAAUCAGAGCCUCUGCAUAUUCAAGAGGAACAUGGAGAACCAGAACCUCCACAGUUUAAAGAGGAACAUGGAGAACCAGAACCUCCACAGUUUAAAGAGGAACAUGGAGAACCAGAACCUCCACAGUUUAAAGAGGAACAUGAAGAACCAGAACCUCCACAGUUUAAAGGGGAAUAUGGAGAACCAGAACCUCAACACAUUAAAAAGGAACAGGAGGAAUCAGAGCUUCCACAGAUUAAAGAGGAGCAAGAGAAACAAGAACCCAAAAUGAUUAAAGAAGAAAAAA